AGGUGGUCCAAGUGCAGUGGUGUUUACAACUAAUUGGUCACAAUCAGUUACCAAUUUCUUUGUCCAUUCUCCACUUCUACUGCUUCACUUGACUAGCUUAAA
rnacentral:Y_RNA from 1 species